UUCACAUUUCAACACUUUAGCCCAGGAUCUCCAAAAACAAAAAAAAUAUCCCAUAUAUCAUCAUUCAUUAUUUCAUUUCCAAGUUAAUUUUCACACAAAACCUCUCAAAAUGGGCUGCAUUCAUAGCACCCCAGAUUCUAUCAACACUCACAAAAACACAAUCUCAUCAUCAUCAUCAUCAUCAUCAAACAACCCAUCAUUAUCUAAACUCCAUCUAACCCCUGAUCUAACAUCUUACCAAGAAGCAUGCAGAUCAGAUCCCGAGUUACAAUCAUUUGACUCAGCUCUCCAAUACAAAACCAGCCGAGUCAUCAACUCACUUGCAGUAGGUGUAGAAGUACGUUCACUUUCACUAGAUUCACUCCAAGAAGUCACUACAAGUUUACUUGACAUGAACCAAGAAGUUGUAAACAUUUUGAUAGAAUCUAAAGAAGAUAUAUGGAAUAAUGAUGAAUUAUUUUCCUUAGUUAAAGAUUUCUUUGACCUUAGUUUAUUAACUCUAGAUUUUAUUACAUCUUUAGAAGACUGUUUAAAAAAUGCUAGACAUAGUUUAUCUUUUUUAACUAUUGCCUUUAAUAAAUUUGAUCAAGAUAAGGAUUACUUAAAUACCCUUCAACAGUUUAAGCAGUUUGAGAGUUUAGACAGCCCGUUUUCGCCGCAGUUUUUCGAGUUGUUUCAGUCUGUUUAUAAGCAACAGGUUUCUAUGUUAAGAAAAUUGAAUGUGCAAAAAAGGAAAGUUGAUAAGAAGUUGAAAAGGGCGGUUAUGUGGAGACGGUUGACUAAUGUUAUAUUUGUGAUCACUUUUAGUACUGUUUUGAUAUGUUCUGUGGUCGCGGCUGCUGUGGCUGCACCUCCGUUGGUGACGGCACUUGCAGCCGCGGCUGUAGUGCCGUUAGGGUCGAUGGGGAAAUGGGUUAACUCGUUAUGGAAGAAAUAUGAGACGGGUUUGAAAGGGCAAAGGGAGUUGAUUAAUGCAAUGAGAAUGGGGAAUUUUAUCGCGAUUAAGGAUUUAGAUAAUAUUAAGGCUUUGGUUGAUAAGUUAGGGGUUGAGAUGGAGGGUUUGGUGCAGAACGUGCAGUUUGCUGUUAAUGAAGAGGAGGAAGAGGCGGUUGCAGUGGCAGUUGAGGAAAUGAAGAAAACGGUUAAUGAUUUUGCUAAGACGAUUGAUGAUUUGAGUGAUCAUUCGAAUAAAUGUAGUAGGGAUGUGAGGAGAGCGAGAACUGUGAUUGUGCAGAAGAUCACGAAGCAUCCUAGUGGCUCGGUUUAGGUAUCUAGGUAUUAGGCAAGGGAUCUGGUGGAGGCUUGGCUUCAGUAAAAGAAAAAUGAGAGGAAAGAUUUACAGGACUUUAUCUUGGUAUUAGUGGAAGGCAUAAACAACUGUCAGAUAAACUUGAAAUUCUGGGCUGCAGACUUCAGCUUGAACUUGCAUCAAUGUCAAACCAAUAUAUUGACCCAUUGCAAUGUAACCUUAAAUCACUGGGAGAAAAGGAAAGAGAAACAAACUUAACAUGAAGAAAUCCGCUUAAUCAACCAAAACAACCCGCGAAUGGUAACCCAACAUCCUGUUUUCACACUUUAUGUGUAGUUGCUGUAACAAUCUGGUGAGCUGAACUUUAACUUGUCUGAAACCGUGCUUAACUCUUUAUAGGAGAUGGUUCUAUGGA